rnacentral:tRNA from 1 species
GGAGUUGUGGCUCAGCGAUAGAGCGCUCGCCUUGCACACGAGAGACCCUGGGUUCAAUCCUCAGCACCA